CACACACACACACCCACGCCAGUCAGCUGUGCCCCCCUGCCUCCCCCACAUAACCAAAAACAUCAGAACUAGAGCGGCGGGGGGGUCAGGGGGCUCGGUUCGUUCACUGAAAUGCUGAGUUAGCCGUUAGCCGCCGACAGCAGAAGCGCCGAACGGGGAGGAUCCGCAGCCGCUCCUGUCCUAAAAGGACCGGAAGCAGACAGAACCCUGAGAAUGCUUCUGCUGCGGAGGUUUGGACCAUGAAAGAAGCCGAGUCGCAGCUAGCUGCUGCUAGCAUCAGCCUGCAGCUGACAUGCUAGCCACCUCUGCUAGCGUUAGCCGACGCGGGCUGCUCUGCUGUUUACAGCGGAAAUAAACGAACUGCGACGAAAUGCAGUCGUUUUCAGGGACUCGGGUUCACGGAGCAGAGCAUCAUCCUUACCGAAGAGUGGGCCCCACGCAGGCCGUGUCUGUGCUCUCGAUUUCCUGAUCAGCCGCUGCUUUCGUGCAUUCAGACAUGCAGUAUCUCUGAAGUCAGCACCUUAAAGUGGUUCCCAAAGGCAAGUCCACCGACUCCAGCUCAGCAAAGAUAUUCCCGAAGAUCUUCUCUUCACCUUUAUUGUCUUCUUCAUUUUGGCUUGGAGGCUCAGUACAGGGACCUUCCUGAGAAAUGUCUACUGCUUCCAUCAAGGCAGAUGAAAGAGUUGAAGGAACAGAUCGCCUUUUAGGCUGUGAUGCCACUCAAGACUCUGAGGUUUCCUAAGACAUCAAUGUAAAAAUUGUCUGUCAAAAAAUGGUCAAUCCAGGUUUGAAAAGUCUUUUUACAACGUCCAUCCGGUGUAGAAUCAUGGGGGAUGCUGGACGCCAUCCUUCCCUUCGCCAUCGGUCCACACACGGAACUCUCACCUGCUGCCUUCCCUCCCCACUGUUGUUCUGGGUAUCCUUUCAAACACGUUGUUCCAGUUCUGCUGUCUUUUCUACAUAAGUGACGAUUAAAGGACCCACUUCACAACC